CAUUAAGAAGCUAAAUAGGACAAAGCGUUAGCCUUUUAAGCUAAAGAUUGGUGAUUCCUGCUCACCCUUAGUGA
rnacentral:tRNA from 1 species